AUUAAAUAGGAGUCAUGUCGCAUAUCCACCAAGAGGAGUUGUUCCUUGAACAUUUUAUAGCAACAACACCAGUUAAAGAGAUGAUUAGACAAAAAGAAAAAAACAUUGGCACAGCAGUUCGAUAAUUCCUAGAACGCAUGUAUUCUCUUGUAACAACAUUUUCUUGAAGGGAAAAAAGCUGUUAAAGUAUUAUUUUCUACAAGAACUAUUUCCUUGCGUGGCCGAAAAAUCUGGCAGCAGAUUUCAUUCGUUAGUUUACCAGUUUGGCUGGUUUUACAGUCAAUUGAACUUCCCAGAAGAUGGCUGAAAGCAUACGCUUAUAGGCGGAUAAAGAAUUGAUAUCCACAAAUAGAAGUUAAAUGCUUUGGAACAAUCAAGGCGUCGCUGGACCAAGCCUAAGCAGCUGCAGCCAUUGGAAGUGAUCUAUUUACUUGAUCGGUAACAAACCCUCUUGACUGCACGAACGAUGUCCUCUACCUGUGGAACAGCCAGUCUUUCAAGAUUAGCAGCGUAUGGCAUAGGAACAUCAGCACCUGAUAUCCUCUCAACUGGUGCAUCA
rnacentral:misc_RNA from 1 species